AGUGAACGCUGGCGGCGUGCCUAAUACAUGCAAGUCGAACGGAGUGGCGCACGGGUGAGUAAUAUAUAGCUAAUCUGCCCCUUGCUGGAGGACAACAGUUAGAAAUGACUGCUAAUACUCCAUAGCAAGGGAUGAGACUAUAUCGUAUCAGCUAGUCGGUGGGGUAACGGCCUACCGAGGCUAUGACGCGUAACUGGUCUGCGAGGAUGAUCAGUAAACUUGGAAGUGAGACACGGUUCAAACUUCUACGGGAAGGAGCAGUAGUGAAUCUUGCGCAUGGGGGGUAACCCUGACGGAGCUACGCCGCGUGGAGUAUGACACUUUUCGGAGCGUAAGCUCCUUUUGUUAGGGAAGCGGUACCUAACGAAUAAGCACCGGCUAACUCCGUGCCAGCAGCCGCGGUAAUAC
rnacentral:rRNA from 1 species